rnacentral:rRNA from 1 species
AGUGAACGCUGGCGGUAGGCCUAGCACAUGCAAGUCGAACGGCAGCACAGUAAGAGCUUGCUCUUACGGGUGGCGAGUGGCGGACGGGUGAGGAAUACAUCGGAAUCUACUUUUUCGUGGGGGAUAACGUAGGGAAACUUACGCUAAUACCGCAUACGACCUACGGGUGAAAGCAGGGGAUCUUCGGACCUUGCGCGAUUGAAUGAGCCGAUGUCGGAUUAGCUAGUUGGCGGGGUAAAGGCCCACCAAGGCGACGAUCCGUAGCUGGUCUGAGAGGAUGAUCAGCCACACUGGAACUGAGACACGGUCCAGACUCCUACGGGAGGCAGAAGUGGGGAAUAUUGGACAAAGGGCGCAAGCCUGAUCCAGCCAUACCGCGUGGGUGAAGAAGGCCUUCGGGUUGUAAAGCCCUUUUGUUGGGAAAGAAAAGCAGCAGGUUAAUACCCCGCUGUUCUGACGGUACCCAAAGAAUAAGCACCGGCUAACUUCGUG